rnacentral:rRNA from 1 species
ACAGGAUUAGAUACCCUGGUAGUCCACGCCGUAAACGAUGUCGACUAGCCGUUGGGAUCCAUGUAAGGGUUUAAGUGGCGCAGCUAACGCGAUAUAGUCGACCGCCUGGGGAGUACGGCCGCAAGGUUAAUACUCAAAGGAAUUGGCGGGGGCCCGCACAAGCGGUGGAGCAUGUGGUUUAAUUCGAUGCAACGCGAAGAACCUUACCAGCCCUGGACAUCGUUGGAACUGUCAGAGAUGACAGGUGCCUUCGGGAGCCAAGUGACAGGUGCUGCAUGGCUGUCGUCAGCUCGUGUCGUGAGAUGUUGGGUUAAGUCCCGUAACGAGCGCAACCCUUGUCAUUAGUUGCCAGCGGUUCGGCCGGGAACUCUAAGGAGACUGCCGGUGAUAAACCGGAGGAAGGUGGGGAUGACGUCAAGUCAUCAUGCCACUAUGGGCUGGGUACACACGUGCUACAAUGGUCGUACAGAGGGUCGCGAAGCCGCGAGUGGAGCCAAUCCCCAGAAACCGAUCGUAGUCCGGAUUGCAGUCGCAACUCGACUGCAUGAGUCGGAUCGCUAGUAAUCGCGAUCAGCAUUCGCGGUGAAAUCGUUCCCGGGCAUGUACACACCGCCCGUCACACCAUGGAGUGCUGCACCAGAAGUAGAUAGCUU